rnacentral:rRNA from 1 species
UACGAAGGGGGCUAGCGUUGCUCGGAAUUACUGGGCGUAAAGCGCGUGUAGGCGGCCAGGUAGGUCCGUUGUGAAAACUCGAGGCUCAACCUCGAGACGCCGGUGGAAACCAUCAGACUAGAGUCCGGAAGAGGAGAGUGGAAUUCCUGGUGUAGCGGUGAAAUGCGCAGAUAUCAGGAAGAACACCCGUGGCUAAGGCGGCUCUCUAGUACGGUACUGACGCUGAGACGCGAAAGCGUGGGGAGCGAACAGG